ensembl:lincRNA
AUGGAGAAACCCUGUCUCAAAAAGACAAAAAAAAGUUCCUUUCCCCACCCUCUCUCGCUGCUUCAGCACCCUAAUUGUUCCGCCGUCACACCCUGGUUCCACCUGUCCCUUCUGCUCAUCUUGGCAUGGCCCACCCUUGAGAAGACUUGGCCUGGCCUUUGGGCAUGUCCCUCUGGGUCUUGGCGUACAGCUUGGCAUGGAGCCUCGCCUCCUCCACUCUGGCUGGGGCUGAGUUCUGAUUGCUGGGCCGACUUAAAACCGAUGACCAUGAGUGAGGUCUGGGCUUUUCCGAUGCUUAGAGAAAGGAACCCAUCCUCUGGGCCUGCCGGGGAGGAAGUCGGAAGUCCCGGCCUCAGCAGGAGUGAGGGAAGGACCCUUCUGCCUUGUGCCUCCCAAGCCCCCUACAGCCCUGGGGACCCAGGUGUCCUUGAUCUCUGCUCCAUGGUCCCGUGGCCAUUGUCCGGGUCUCUGUGUCCCCUCCUCUUACAAGGACACCAGUCAGAUCACUUUGUGAGGCCCCAGGAAGACGAACGGCUCCUGUCCACCGGGCAUCUUCCCACAAUACGGCCACCCGCCUGCUUUGGUGUUCGCUGGCCUACAGCAGCUGUGUAUGUCCCACCCAGUGCUACCGACGCCGGCUCUGCUCACCUGACUGUGGCCUGUGUUCAGGCUCCUGUGGGAGAAGCACCAGCUGCGGGCUUACCUCUUGGGGUCUCCUUCCCCUGGGAUCCGUCUGGACUCAGCCUGGGACACUGCCCUUGGCCGUUUCCCAGCUUCCGCAGUUGUCCUGAACGCACAGUUUGCCAAUUUGUCUUCAUGGAGAGAAACAGAAGUCUCACCGGGCAUUUCUUUCUCCCAGGCUCACGUCCGCAGAGCACAGGGGACCGGCUCAGGGGCCUUCCUGUCGGUUUACACGAGGUCGAGGUCAGGCUAAGGGAAGUGCUUCAGCACUGCGUGACCUCGGGGAGCCCCACCUACUGUAGAGUCCUGCGGCGCCUGUUUCUUCCCAUGGCUUGUUUCCUUCCUCGGAUUCAUUUGAAAGUAAGUUGCAGACCUCAUUCUCCUUGUACCCCAAAUUCUUCAUUACACAUUUCCCAAAACAAGCCUUCAGUGCGAUCACUGAGAAUAGGGCAUUUGCUGUUCAAACACUAAUGUUACCUAAGCCAGUGCUUGUACUGGAAUUCUACCAGUUUCCCCGGUGACACCCUUUAUCACAAUCCUGCCACACACACACACACACACACACAGGCCCAGCCCAGAGCCGCGCACCGCCCACGGGCCCGUCUUAUUAUUUCACCCACUCUUCCCCUUCAGUCGGAGGGUCCUCAGGAUCAGUUCCCCUGAUGCUGCUUAGCCAGGGGCUGUGUUCUCAGCACUUCCUGGCAAACGGCACGGGAUCUUAACUUGCUGCAUCACUGUUCAUUGUAAUCCCAAAUACUGAGUAUCAUAAUCCCUUUUCCUGUUUUCCUUAAAAUCCAAAAGGUUAUAUUUGUAAUCCCCUUGAGACGUGAUUGGAAUCCCGGCAAGUUAAUUCCAAUCCACCACCUCCAAUACAACCCACGGCGAGAGUAAAGACACCAAGACAGAUUCCAACUUAAGAACAGCCAAGGGGUCCUGAGUCCAAUCUCCGUGAGGGUGUGCAGAGAGGCCCUGAUCCUAGGCCUCUCCCAGCAUUCCUUAUCUUGUGAAGAAGGGGCGUGGCUCCAGGAUGAGUGACAGUGAGGAUGGUGGGAAUCACGUGAGUAACCUGAACUGGCUUGGCAGGUGGAGAGAAAAGCAUCUUUGCAAAAUGCAGGGAGAAUGACAUGCAAAAGGAUCAGUCUGCAUAAUACAAUUCAGGUAGAAAUUGAAUUGUUGUUGGAUGCUGAUGCUUCAGUUACUAAUAUGUAAACGUUUUUUUUUUCUUUUUUCUUUUUUUUUUUUUUUUUUUUUUUUUGGUCUUUUUCGUUUUUAUCGGUACCAGGGAUCGAACUCAGGACUGCCUGCUUGCAAGGCAGGCGCUUAUGCCGCUGAGCUAAAUCCCCAGCCCCACUAAUAUGUAAACUUUUGUUCCCUGGGGACUCAGAGCCUCUUACUUUGAGUCUGGCACCCAGCUGACAUUUCUGGAGCUGACUGGCUCUGCCAUCCCUUGUGUGUGGAUCUUUUACAGACAGCACUAUGCGAGGAACAGGAGGCUGUCAGACUGACUUCAAAGAUUACCCAUCAGUACUUCAGCCGGCCUUACUUGCAUUGCUUAGAGCCAGUUGAAGAGAAGAAAUACCAGCGCCAGCCCUGUACAUAUCAGUAUAUGGAAAUAAGACUCCAUUUAACCAGUGUUGUAGCAGCUGUUCUGCAAGCAAGCAGAGGAGCUUGUGUCGUCUUCUACAACCAUCACUGUUGGAUUCCAUCACUGAUGAAGCUGACAUCUGCUGGCAUUCCCUGCUGUGCAUUUGCUCCAGUUCCCUUUGCAGAUGGCGAGUGUUUCUGUGGGGACUUUGAGACUCAUGCAAACACCAUUCCUCAUAGACACUACCGAAGGUAGGGUCUGUGUAUCACCCCUCCCUCCCCUUCCUGCCCUCCUUCUCCCCCUUCCUUCCCCUCCCGCCCUCCCUUUGUAUCACCUGGUUUUCUUCCCACUUGGCGAAGCCAGUCUUCAGGUACCUUCUCAGAAGGGACGUCUCGGGGACGCAGGUCUGAGCCUGCGUGACAGUGUCUCCCUUGGGAAGAAGGAGGCACCACUCCUUCUUGAAUGGCUACUUGGGUUAGUUACACAGCUCUAGAGUAGGAGACUCUUUGCAGCCUUUGUUUUACUGUCUCCCAGUGUCCUGUGCUGCUGUUGAAAAGCUGCUGUUAUUCCAACUUAUAAAAUCUCCUCUGAAAUAUUUUAAAACUUGUUUCUAGAAAGUUUUUUGGUGGGAAAAGUGUCUCCCAUUUUGGUGCUGGGCACUCUCUGACCUGGUCAGUCUGGAAAAGCUUGCUCCUCAGUGGUUGCAGUGUGGGUUCUUUUUCCUUUAGUAAUCUAUUCUCUGAAGAAAAUGUGGCAUAUGUACAUUGUGGAGUACUAGUCAGCCAUAAAAAAGACAAAUUUGAGUCAUGUAGGAAAGUGGGUGCACCUUGAGACCAUAGGUUAAAUAGUAUGUGAGUUUUCUUAUACAGUAAGAGAAACCCAAAGUAUAAAUAAUUUAAGUAACAAAAUAAAAGACAGAUGGUAGGAAACAGGAAGAGAGACCUUUUGGAGAAGAGAAAGGUAUCUAGGGAUGGAGAGAUAGGGGAGGGAAGUAAAAAAACUGAGAUGUGAUACAUAUGUGUACCAACUUCCCACUGAUGAAUGUGUUCACUUUGUACCAUAAUCAUGUACUAAUAAAAAUUGUUAAACUUAAC